UACGAAGGGUGCUAGCGUUGUUCGGAAUCACUGGGCGUAAAGCGCGCGUAGGCGGCGCCGCAAGUCAGAGGUGAAAGCCUGGAGCUCAACUCCAGAAUUGCCUUUGAAACUGCGGUGCUAGAGUGUCGGAGGGGAUAGCGGAAUUGCUAAUGUAGAGGUGAAAUUCGUAGAUAUUAGCAGGAACACCGGUGGCGAAGGCGGCUAUCUGGACGACAACUGACGCUGAGGCGCGAAAGCGUGGGGAUCAAACAGG
rnacentral:rRNA from 1 species